GUUAUAAGAAGUCGUUGGUGUGAAUAGCCUGUUAGCUAUUCGCACCGUCGGUGCGAUUAGCCACUGCGUACCUUUCCUUCGCACCUAUGUUUGAUUUUUCGCCUAUCAGUGCAGAAAGACUUAGCGGUGGCAAAACAAGAAGUCUAUGUAUAUAUCUAUGUACAAUACAUAUUCUAUGGUCUUGCGCCUGCAUUUCACUCUCGACUUUGGUUGACAUAAUAGACCGUCGUGGACAUAAUAGACUUCACAGCAACGCUACUGUGUAAAAUGUUGGCUAACUUUAUAGGCGAAAAGCUCGGUCUUGAAAUUCGCCUGCCAUGCGCGCCAGCUAAGGGACAUAUUCUUUGCUAAUGCCAGAAAAAUUGUCACCGACUUCAAGCACUAGAAUUUCGGCAACUUUUGAACAUUUUGGAAUGGAAAAAAAUAAUGAACUAUGCUCUAGUGAUCCUGAGCGUGAAAGGUUUGUUUCCCCGGAUUUUACUUACGAAUGUAUGCUGGACAUUGUAUGGUCUGUGUCUUAGAAGAUAGGGUGGAAGGAUAAAGAGGUGGAAAUUGAUGAGUUUUGCUGAUGUUUGAAAUUGAUAUUUCUGCUGUUUGAAGAACCAUUCACAAUGAUUGGCUCAAUGGCUUGAAGCAUGCAGGAAGUACUUGAUUGAGCAUUAUAAGGAGAUAUUAAAGGAACCACCUUCUACCUUAUACUGAACUCGUCUUUGUUCUGCCCAUUUUGAAGAUUUUGCAUACUCAACGACCAAGAACUCUUGCAUUUAAUGCUUAAUCAGCAAAAUUUGGUGAAACAGAGCAAAACACCUUAAUCAAAUGGCAAAAUAAAAAAAAAUCAUCAAAAGCAUACAAAAUUAACCACAAAACAGAGCCCAGCAGGAAAAAGGGGUGAACAAUGUUGCAUUACAAGAGAUACUUUAGUGAAAUAGCUGCAGAUCUGAAGUACAAUAAAAUACUAGGAUGAGAUUCGAUAAAAUAACAAAUAAAGAAAGAAGUAAACCAUUUUGGAAAGAUUUACAUAGAGAUUCAAGAGUAAUUAUUGCAGAUAUUAAGCCCAGCCCAGAAAAGAAUUCAUCAAGAAUUGACAAAUAUACAGAUUCGAUAAAAUAGCAAAUGAAGAAAGAAGUAAACCAUUUUGGAAAGAUUUACAUAGAGAGUUAAGAGUACUUAUUGCAGAUAUUAAGCCCACUGCAGAAAAGAAUUCAUCAAGAAUCGACAAAUAUACAGUUAUUGAAUUAAUAUGGAAUGGUGAAGACAAGAUUAAAGUCUAACAGCAGAAAAAGUGCUUUAAGGCAAAUCCCAGGAAGCUGCAGAACAGAAUUUGCUGUGACAUUUUAGCAAGCACUGAAUAUGGGCACUGAAAAUGUGAGAAUUAAAUUGACUAAGCAUGUGGAUAAUUCAAGUAACUCGGAUGAAAAACCCAGCGCCUGGGGGUAGCCAGGCAUUUCUUUCGAGAGACUGAAAUGGAAGACACAAAAGCAGAUUUAAUUAAAAAAUGUUAAAUAUAAGACUACAGAGGAUUGUUUCUUUGUACAAGAGAAAUGGUACAGAAACAGCAAAUAAUGAAUUGCCAAGUAAUGCUGCUUUAGAAUGUGAAAUAUGGUGCUUGAAGAUAGUAAUGAUACAUAUGCAUUAUAAUUAGAGGAUUAUGGCUCAUGGCAACACCUCUGAAAAAAAAAAAAAAAAACCCAUCAAGAUUCCUACCUUCGGAGUCUUGCACAUACCAGCAUAAAAAUUUGCUACGGUUAUUUUUACUUACUUUACUUAAUUCAUGUCAUUAAUCAAGUUACUUCUUAAUUCUAUUUCUUAAUCAGAUUAAAUUAAAAUUGACUUUAAUAUGCACAUUAUUUCUUAAUUCUGUUUCUUACUCAGAUUUAAUUAAAAUUGACCUUAACAUGCAAUCAAAUUUAGAUAAUUUGAAAAGUCAUGGCUAGUUCUAAUUUUUUCAAUGGAACUAUGUUAUCAGAUUCGGAUAAAAAAUGUCUUAAAAAAUUAAUCUCUAAAUCUUAAAUAUAAGAGAAUUUGGCAAUGCUCUUACAAACAGCAAAAUAUAAUAAGCUUUCGGUUUUUAUUUAAGAUUAAAUGUGCAAGACUCUAUGGUGAUGUGGAAAUGGAAUCAUUUUUAAUUUCAGAAUCCUUGUACAUUACUUUAUUCUUAUGAAACUUAUUCAGAUCUUAUGAAAAUGCAUCCACAAAGUGCAAAGAAAAUGGAUUACUCUCAUAAUGGAUUAAAAGAAAAAAUAAGGAUUAUCUGAGAAAUGUCAUCUGGGCUGGUGAAUAUAGCUGGUGGUCCUAGAAUUAUAGCUCCUAACUAGUAGUCCUAGAAACAAUAGGGUUGUGAAUGUGCAUCAGCUUUCCAUGAAGUUAUGUGCUGGAGCAGCAUGCAGUCAGUAUGAAUCAUAUUCAACAUUCAUAUUCUUUGAAAGGUAGCUCAAAAUCAAAUCCUGGCUGUUUGCAACUUACCUGAGGUACACAGCUAGCCUCUAAACCAAGCCAAGGUUCAACAGUACUAAAUCAUAUAGGUGAAGUGUUUGUGACACUAGAAAGAAGUUCAAAAUGCAAUAAAAAUUUAACUCCCAGAUCUUUGAAAUUUAGGCAGUUAAGCCAUAAACUGGUAUAUUUGAAAAUAUUCGUUAAAAAGUAAAGCUAACAAAGCUGGAAGGGAAAAGGUACUCUUGCUGAUUAGAUCACUGGUUAGGUCUGUGGUUUUUCACUUUUAUGCAGUCACAAAUAAAUGCAUCAAAUGUGUCAAAAUAUGGAUGAAGUUGGUCACUGAUUGAUAAAAAUUUGUCUUCAGAUCUAUCUUAGUAGUCCAAAUCUUAUACUGAACAUGCAGUAUAGGAACUGUAGUUUCCUUCCCGGAUAUGCAGCUCAUGGUCUUGUUUUUAUGGUCCACGGGCUUUGGAAAAAAUGGAAAUAGGCCAUUGGCUACUUUUUUCCCUUCUUGCACUACUCCAAGUUUCAUGUUGUGUACUUUGGUCAUGGAAGCCCUAUCAAAAUUAUAUGAUUGUGGUUUGAUGCCUGUGGCUGUUUGUGAUGAUGGUGCAAAUGAUGUAUUUUCUUAUAAAAAAUAUGAAAGUUACAGAAGAGAGAAUUAUAUGUCAAGACAAAAAAGGUAUUCACACUUUUUUUGUACCUCGUCUUUUGAAGUGCUUGUGAAAUAAUUUUAAAAAAUAUGAUGUUAAAUUUCAGAGUAGCAAAAUUACUAAUUAAAAACACAUCAUAUCCUUGUGGGAAUUUGAUCGUAAAAUGCCUCACAGAUGUGUUCCAAAAUUAACAGGCCACCAUGUAAAUGGGGAUUCCCUAGGUGCUAUAAGGAUAAAAUUAGCAGCUUCAGGCUUUAGUCAUUCUGUGGCUUCUGGCCUGUGUUACCUCAAUGCACUAAAUUGCUUACUUGCAUUGUCUAGUUUUACAGCUGACUUCUGUUCAAACAAAAAUACUUUAUUUGAUGGUUUGAAUAGUCAAACAUUUAAGCACCCUAAAUCUUUUCUUGUAGGAGUUACAAAAUCAUCAACUCACUUAACAUGGAAGGAAAAGAUGAAGUUCAUCAAAUCUAUUGAACUUCAAAUGGAAAAAACAAAUCUUUUCAAAGUAUAUUUGGUUGGAAAUUGAUCUAUCAGCAGUUCAUCAGUUAAUUCCAGUUCUGUUGGAAAAUGUACCGCUUGUAUUGAUGUGUUGUUUCACCCACGAUAACUUGGAUAAUUUUUUCUCUGUUUUCAAACACAGAGGUGGAAGUAAUGACUAUCCUACUGUGUACGAUUUUCAACUGAGGAUGAGAAUGCUAAUGGCACAGAAUAUUAUAAGCACAGCAAAGCUAUCAGACAGUAAAUGUGAUAAUGAUAAAGUUUUGCUACCUCCAGAGUUGCUGACAGUUAUUGAUAAUACUGCGCCUUUAAAUGGCAGUGAUGUAAAUGAUAGGGAAAUUGACUAUGAGGAUUCGUUAUGGGUAGCAAAUGAAAAUUCUGAUACUAGUACUUGUAUUGCAAAUACAUAACAUGAUGUAUUUUCACGAAAUUCAGCAGCUUAUGUUGCUGGAUAUUUUGCUAGAAGUGCAUUAAAGCAAUUUCCUUGUACUUUAUUUUAGAAUAUUCUUCUGAUUGAUAAAUCUUUGGGCAAAUAACUUACUUUUUAUAUUUCAAGGAAUUUGAUGUAGUGAAAGAUGGAUUGUGUUUCCCCUUAUAGCAGCUUAUAUUUAUUGUUUGUGAGAUGGGAUGAAAAAAUUGGAACUUUAUUUGAUGAAAUAUGCAGCCAGAAAGGUGUGAAAUACAAAAUUAUAUCCCAAAUUAAACUCGUUGAUCAUGAAUGGCUUACAUGUCAUUAUCCUGCAGUGAAAAUGUGGAAAUAUUUUGUCAGUUCAUAUGCCCAUCAUAAGCUGAAAAAUACAAAUAACUGCUCAAAAAACAAAUGUAGAGGAAAGAAAAAAAUAUAAAAUUAUAGUUAAAAAGUCUUAUUUGUAUGUACAGGUAGUCUUUAAUUUAUAAUGACUUAUCCCAUUUCAACCAUUUCUUCACAGUUUCUUCUACAGUAUCAUGCUCAUACUUUUCCAGUGUUUCCUGUUACAGCAGUAUUUUCCCAAAUUCUUCACAUGCAUUGUUCUGAGAUUCCCCCAUCCUCAAAGUUCCAAUAUUCAGAGAGGUCUAACUCUUUCCGAAGCGCUAAAAGUGUUUCAUGAAUUACCCUCGGAUUGUGAAUCAGAGCGUGAGGAUAGCAGCUAUACUAAGGUAUAUGCUCCUGAACCACUUGUGCAAUCCGAUGAUGAUAUGUCAGAUGAAACUCAUUUAUCUGAUAAGGAGGAUGAUGAUCCAUCUCAGCCAGGCUUCACUACACAGCCUUUAGUUCCUACUUGGAAUUCUAAACAGAAGUUGCAAAAGAUACUUCUGGAAUUUACAUCGAUAAGUGGGCCAAAUGCAAAGCUAUGGGAAUUAUCUGCAAAAACACUAUUAGCAGUGUUCCAAGAGAUUUCUUCACUUCAGCUGAUAGAACACGUAGUUUUCCAAACAAAUCCCUAUGCGACACAAAAAAGUAAACCUUUCUCACCACUCACUUUAGUUGAAUUAUACAUAUUUCUGGGAAUCAAUCUGCUGAUGGGCAUAAAGAGGAUGCCGAGUUAUAAGGAUUACUGGGCAAAUAAUGAAGCCCUUGGAGACAAAUUCAUUUGCCGUUAUAUGUCAUGUAGAAGGUUUUCAUGGAUUCUCGUCAAUUUGCGCCUAAAUGACAACGUGCUUGAGCUGAAAAGGAACGAUGCAAAUUUCGACCGUCUGUAUAAAGUGCGGCCAUUAUUAGAUUAUCUGUCUAAGAGAUUUUUAGAUGCUCUGCACCCCAGUGAAAAUUGUUGAUAGAUGAGUCGAUGAUCAAAUUCAAGGGGCGCAGCACAAUCAAACAAUGCAUGUCCAAGAAACCAAUAAAAUGUGGUUUCAAAGUAUGGAUGAGGUAUGAUGAGAGUGCUUUUGCAUCCCAGUUCAAGAUUUAUUCAGGCAAAAAAGAAGUUGUAGAGAAAAACCUGGGUGAGAAAGUGGUGAAAAGAUUGACAGAAUGCCUGCAUGGCAAAAAUCACCGGGUGUUCAUGGACAAUUUACGACAUAUGAACUUUUUCGCUACUUCGAAACCAAAAAUAUAUAUGCCUGUGGAACUGCCAUGAUAGGCAGAAAAAUUUACCCAAGUCUCUGCUUGCCCAGGACAAAGAGUUGAAAAGAGGCGAAUUUGACUGGGCUAUCAGUCAUGACAAUCUAACUUGCCUCAAAUGGAAGGAUAAGAGAUGUUUCACAAUCCUGUCUUCCCUUCCUGAUGCCGUUGAUCAAAUUCAAAUUGAACGAAAAGAAAAAGAUGGCACAAAAAUAAACAUAAAUUGCCCAAAAGCAAUUUCAACUUAUAAUAUGAAAAUGGGAUUCGUAGACAAAUUUGAUCAACUAGUAUCGCUUUACGAAAUAGAUCGUAAAAGUAAAAAGUGAUGGCAAAAAAUCUUUUUCCAUUUUGUAGAUGUAGCUGUAAUUAACAGUUACAUAUUACAUAAAAUGCUAACUGGAGCUGAAAUAAAUACAGCCAAAGAUUUCCUUUUAAAUUUGCUGUAUUCCCUCUGUGCCAUGAAAGCGUCAGAGAUAACUUUGAAGAGGCGACUUCCUUCAAGACCUGAAGAUACUCCCAGGCAUAAAGUAAAGGUUUCCGGGGGAAAAUGCUACAGUAGUGUUGAACACAUAUCGGUGAAGGGUAUGCGUAGACAAUGCACACAUUGUAGCAUGAAGCAGAAGCCGCACAAAACAAGUUUUAUGUGCAAAACCUGCAAAGUUGGUUUGUGCUUCCAUCAUAAAUGUGUGAUUUGCUUUGAACAAUUUCACAAAGCUAAGAAAUAGGAAAAUUUGUAAAUAUUUCUGUAUGUAGGACUUGUGUAUAUAGAUAUUUAUCUUAUUUAUCUGUAUAUAUUCAAGAAUAUUGUGUAUAUCCAGGAAACCAUGUAUACAGCCAUAAUACAGAGUUUUUUCAUACUUAUACAAACACUUCUACUCAUUAGUCACACUUUUAAAAGCUCUGGCGGCGCAGUAUUCCACCUCAUGGAACACCCACAGAAUUAAAACGCAAACAAUGAAUUUAAUAUGGAAGAUAAUCUGAAAAUUUUCACAUUCUCUCAAAAGUGUUUUAGAACAAAUGAAGAUUUCCAAAAUAGUAUUGACUGAAUUAAAAAUUUUUAGUCAAAUACUGAGCAUCUGGUAAAGAACUUACUGAAUGAGAGUUAAUUCUUUUUUUAACUGUUAUCUGUUAAUCUCUGUAAUUAUAUUUAUUGAUAUGGAAUCUGUAGUAUGUGCUUGUAAAAAAUUAGGAAUUAAAGAGUUUAUUAUUUUAUGAAAAUUGUUACAUUAACAGAAAUAUGACCUUUUCAUGUAUGAGAUCUAAAUGUUUCAAUUUAAGAAUAAUUUGAUUUCUAAAAUGUAUAUUAUUGUUUUGGUUUCUGCAUUAAUGCUAUGCUAAAAAUAUAUGGUAAUAUAUACUUUUCUCUUCUUUUUUGUCUUCUCUGUAUGAUAACUAACUCUAAAAUUGUAUGUAUUUCUGAAAUAAAAAUGUUUGACUAUGUUACCUAAUAUUCUGUUUAAAUAGUAGACAAAAUGAAUUUACAAUAAAUUUUUAAAUAAUACUUAGUUUAUAUAAAUAUUAUAUAGGACAGAAUACUUAUUUAAUUUCUUGAAAUGUACUGUAUCCAUAAGCUAAAAAAAUAAGAAAAUAAUUUAUCUAAUUAUUUCUAUACUGUAUUAAUUUAUAUACCUUUAAAAGUUAGGUCAGAGAAAACUGUUAUUUAAGGCAAAAGAAGAAAAACUGAUUUUGUUAGUGGUUGUAUGAAAAAUCAUAUAUUUGCUUGUUAUAUAUUGUGUUAUAGUGAUCUGAUAAUUGUGUAUCUUAAUAUGAAAUUUUGUUUAUUAUAUAUAAAUGACAUUUUUAAUGCCUUAAUUUAUAUUGGUUGUCUUUAUUUCUUUCAUUAACAUAUUUUUCAAGCUGAGUAAGUUCAGCAUAGAUCUUUAAUAAAAUUAUAUUAGAGACUGCACCAUUUAUUUAUUUUAAAAUUAUUAACUGCGGAUAUGUAAUUCAGACUAUUAGGUAUAUAGCCCUUGUGUGCUUUGCCAUAUAUAAGUAAUCCAAUCAUAUAUAAUAACAAACAUUACUUUUAUUAAAUUAUGAAUAUAUGUAAUGCAGGAUAUUUAAAAUCUCAGUUUUAGUUAAACAGUUUUAGCUUUUUUUAUUCACAGAAAAGUUUAAGAAUAGUUUUUUAAAAUUAUCAAAAAUGGCUGAUUAAUAAAACUUUUUAAAUAUAUGGUUUUCUGCUAAAUGUAAAUUGUUUUUUCUUUAAUCUAUUUUUUUUGUUUUCCAAAUCAAUUUAAAUAUUUAAUUUUAAUUAAACAAAUAUUACUUAAAUAUUUGUAUUGACAUUUUGUGUGGUGAUCAUAGCAAUAAGAAGGUUCUGGGAUAUAUUUCCAUCCUGAGCCACCAUAACUAGAUCUGCCACUGCAGAUAGGGUUUGCACGUUUGCCAUAUUUCCUUCUUUGACAAACUUUAUGAUUUAAAAAAAUUAUAUUCUUCAUUUGCACAACUUUUCCAUCCUUAGAACAAUUAAUUUCAGUAUAAAAUAUAUUAAAACAUGUUUCAAGCAUUCUGUGCCUGUGUGUUUACGUGUUAUGUAAGCUAAUGGAAAUAUAAUAAACAUGUUUCAACCAUUCUGUG